ACAAUCAUACAAAUUCAAUUAACUUUUUUUUUUCAUUUUAAAAUAAAUAAAAUUUAAUUAAAAAAUUUUUAAUUGUGGAUUACUAUGCAAUAUAGGGGAGCUAUAUUUAAUAACUAAUAUUUUGUACGAAUAAAUAUACAAUUGCAAUGCUAUAUAGUAAUAUAGGGGUACAAUCAUACAAAUUCAAUUAACUUUUUUUUUUCAUUUUUUUUUAGGGAAACUUCAAGUAACCCCUGUGGUUUCGCAUUUUCUCACUUUAGUACCAUGUAAUUUAAAGUGUAUCAAGUUAGUACCCUGUGAUUUCACACUUUCUCACUUUAGUACACUGUGGUUUCAAGUGUAUCAAGUUAGUACCCUAUGGUUUCACACUUUCUCACUUUAGUACCCGAAUUAGGCUGGAAUACUAUUAAUAGCACCAAUGACUUGGUGCUAUUAAGUUUUCUGCCAUUUGAUUAAAAAAUGUACGAUUAGGAUGAUAUGGGCCGCCCUAGGGUUGAGUGGGUGGUUAGUUGAAUAGUAUAAUCGAACAAAUGAAAAUGAUAAAAGAGGUAAAUCUAACGGCAGAAAACUUAAUAGCAUCAAAUGUUCCGUGCUAUCGAUAGUAUCCUAGUCGGACUCUUAGUAUCCUGUGGUUUAAUAUUUCGUUCAAUUACAUAUCCCGAAAUAGAUAAUAAAAAUAAAAAAUUGAAACUACAGAGUACUAAUUUAAUACAAAAAUAAAAUCACAUAAUACUAACUUGAUAUAUUUGAAAUCACAGAAAAGUAAAAUAAGAAAAUACGACACAUAGGCUUUUUUU
rnacentral:lncRNA from 1 species